rnacentral:lncRNA from 1 species
AAAUCUACUCAUUAGCAAUAUAUAUAUAUAACACAAUAUGUGCUUUUUAAAUAUAUUCAGUGUUAGCCCCAUUCUAAAUUUAGAUUUGACUAAAGCAAUACAUAAGAUAAUUUGCUAAAAUUUUCAUCUUGACUAGAUAGUGGACAGAAUUAGAAUUUCUAACAUAUUGUACCCUUUUAAAUGCCAAUUACAGUCCCUUACUGGAAUCUUAACUGUAAUUGCUUUGCAAACUGCUUUUAUUGGGAAGUUAAUAUUUUAUUAUUGGAUAGACACCAUUAUACUCACCAUGUUUGUUUUUAAUCAAGUAUUACCUUAAAAUGUACAAACUAGUGAAAUGGUUAUACUUCUGCACUUUCUUAAUUACCAGUCCUCAUACCAAGUAUUGGUACAUAAAUUUGUAUCGGGUGCAGGUUACAAUUUUGAAGCCAUAUGAGUUUAUAUUGAUUUUUUCAUUUAAAAAUCCACUAAUGGUGUAAAAAAAGACCAAUAGAUUUUCAAUGGGAAAUGUAUUUUAGCAAGCUGGUUCUUGCUUAUGUAUAGUGAUAAACUUUGUAGCUGCCUCUUUAACCAAGAAUUUGUAAACACAGAACUCUUAACAAAUGUGAGUUUUUAAGAUUUGUUAUUUACUACUUUGAGUUGUAAUUAGAACAAUGCAAAUCUUACAAUAUUUUGUAAAUAUUUUUGAUUUUUCAUAAAAAUGUAAAUUUUACAUAAAAGUUGUACCCUUAAUAAACAUGUAAUAUAUAAUUU